rnacentral:rRNA from 1 species
GACGAACGCUGGCGGCGUGCUUAACACAUGCAAGUCGAACGGAAAGGCCCUGCUUUUGCGGGGUGCUCGAGUGGCGAACGGGUGAGUAACACGUGAGUAACCUGCCCUUGACUUUGGGAUAACUUCAGGAAACUGGGGCUAAUACCGGAUAGGAGCUCCUGCUGCAUGGUGGGGGUUGGAAAGUUUCGGCGGUUGGGGAUGGACUCGCGGCUUAUCAGCUUGUUGGUGGGGUAGUGGCGUACCAAGGCUUUGACGGGUAGCCGGCCUGAGAGGGUGACCGGCCACAUUGGGACUGAGAUACGGGCCAGACUGCUACGGGAGGCAGCAGUGGGGAAUAUUGCACAAUGGGCGGAAGCCUGAUGCAGCAACGCCGCGUGCGGGAUGACGGCCUUCGGGUUGUAAACCGCUUUCGCCUGUGACGAAGCGUGAGUGACGGUAAUGGGUAAAGAAGCACCGGCUAACUACGUG